UUAUACAGCGAAACUGCGAAUGGCUCAUUAUAUAAGUUAUCGUUUAUUUGAUAGUACCUUACUACUUGGAUAACCGUGGUAAUUCUAGAGCUAAUACAUGCUAAAAAUCCCGACUUCGGAAGGGAUGUAUUUAUUAGAUUAAAAACCAAUGCCCUCUGGGCUCUUUGGUGAUUCAUGAUAACUUCUCGAAUCGCACGGCCUUGCGCCGGCGAUGGUUCAUUCAAAUUUCUUCCCUAUCAACUUUCGAUGUUUGGGUAUUGGCCAAACAUGGUUGCAACGGGUAACGGAGGGUUAGGGCUCGACCCCGGAGAAGGAGCCUGAGAAACGGCUACUACAUCCAAGGAAGGCAGCAGGCGCGCAAAUUACCCAAUCCCGACACGGGGAGGUAGUGACAAUAAAUACUGAUACAGGGCUCUUUUGGGUCUUGUAAUUGGAAUGAGUACAAUUUAAAUCCCUUAACGAGGAACAAUUGGAGGGCAAGUCUGGUGCCAGCAGCCGCGGUAAUUCCAGCUCCAAUAGCGUAUAUUAAAGUUGUUGUGGUUAAAAAGCUCGUAGUUGAACCUUGGGCCUGGCUGGCCGGUCCGCCUCACCGCGUGUACUGGUCCGGCCGGGCCUUUCCCUCUGUGGAACCUCAUGCCCUUCACUGGGUGUGACGGGGAAACAGGACUUUUACUUUGAAAAAAUUAGAGUGCUCCAGGCAGGCCUAUGCUCGAAUACAUUAGCAUGGAAUAAUAAAAUAGGACGUGUGGUUCUAUUUUGUUGGUUUCUAGGACCGCCGUAAUGAUUAAUAGGGACAGUCGGGGGCAUCAGUAUUCAAUUGUCAGAGGUGAAAUUCUUGGAUUUAUUGAAGACUAACUACUGCGAAAGCAUUUGCCAAGGAUGUUUUCAUUAAUCAGGAACGAAAGUUAGGGGAUCGAAGACGAUCAGAUACCGUCGUAGUCUUAACCAUAAACUAUGCCGACUAGGGAUCGGACGAUGUUAUUUUUUGACGCGUUCGGCACCUUACGAGAAAUCAAAGUGCUUGGGCUCCAGGGG
rnacentral:rRNA from 1 species